rnacentral:rRNA from 1 species
GUUGAAUAUAUAGACGGUGUGGAGGGAACGAGGGGAAGUGAAACAUCUCAGUACCCUCAGGAAGAGAAAACAAUAGUGAUUCCGUGAGUAGUGGCGAGCGAAAGCGGAUGAGGCUAAACCAUGCACAUGUGAUACCGGGUAGGGGUUGUGUGUGUGGUGUUGUGGGGUUCAUCUUUCCAGCUCUACCUGGCUGGACAGCAGUAAGAAAGUGUCGUGUUAGGUGAAGUGACCUGGAACGGUCCGCCGGAGAGGGUGAGAGUCCUGUAACCGAAAACACGGUGCCUGUUGUGAUGGAUACCCGAGUAGCAGCGAGCCCGUGAAAUUCGCUGUGAAUCUGCCGAGACCACUCGGUAAGCCUAAAUACUACCUUGCGACCGAUAGCGGACAAGUACCGUGAGGGAAAGGUGAAAAGUACCCCGGGAGGGGAGUGAAAUAGUACCUGAAACCGUGUGCUUACAAUCCGUCAGAGCCCUCGUUGUGGGGUGAUGGCGUGCCUUUUGAAGAAUGAGCCUGCGAGUCAGUGCUCGGUGGCGAGGUUAACCCGUUGUGGGGUAGCCGUAGCGAAAGCGAGUCCGAAUAGGGCGUUUGAGUCGCCGGGUCUGGACCCGAAGCGGAGUGAUCUACCCAUGGCCAGGGUGAAGCAGCAGUAAGAUGUUGUGGAGGCCCGAACCCACUUAGGUUGAAAACUGAGGGGAUGAGCUGUGGGUAGGGGUGAAAGGCCAAUCAAACUCCGUGAUAGCUGGUUCUCCCCGAAAUGCAUUUAGGUGCAGCGUCACGUGUUUCUUGCCGGAGGUAGAGCUACUGGAUGGCCGAUGGGCCCUCACAGGUUACUGACGUCAGCCAAACUCCGAAUGCCGGUAAGUGAGAACGUGGCAGUGAGACUGCGGGGGAUAAGCUUCGUAGUCGAGAGGGAAACAGCCCAGAUCGCCGGCUAAGGCCCCUAAGCGUGUACUAA